rnacentral:tRNA from 1 species
GAAGAUACAGCUCAGUGGUAGAGUUUGUGCCUAGCAUGCAAGAGGUCCUGGGUUCAACCCCCAGUACCUCCA